UGGUGAUGGUUACCAUGGUGUUCAUGGUGAUGAUGAUGCUUGCCAUGGUGGUCAUGGUGGUUGUCAUCAUCGUCAUCAUCAUCAUCAUCGUCAUGA
rnacentral:miRNA from 1 species